rnacentral:rRNA from 1 species
UCGAGGGGCAGCGGUGGUGAAGGCUUGCCUUUACCAGCCGGCGACCUGCGCACGGGUGAGUAACACGUAUGCAACCUGCCUGCCACAGCCGGAUAAUCGGGAGAAAUUCCGUCUAAUACGGCAUAAUGCAUCGACGGGACAUCCUGUUGGUGCCAAAGGUUAAUUCCGGUGGCGGAUGGGCAUGCGUCGCAUUAGUUAGUUGGCGGUGUAACGGACCACCAAGACGACGAUGCGUAGGGGUUCUGAGAGGAAGGUCCCCCACACUGGUACUGAGACACGGACCAGACUCCUACGGGAGGCAGCAGUGAGGAAUAUUGGUCAAUGGGCGGGAGCCUGAACCAGCCAAGUCGCGUGAGGGAUGACGGCCCUAUGGGUUGUAAACCUCUUUUGCCGGGGAGCAAAGUGCCGCACGUGUGCGGUUUGGAGAGUACCCGGAGAAAAAGCAUCGGCUAACUCCGUGCCAGCAGCCGCGGUAAUACGGAGGAUGCGAGCGUUAUCCGGAUUUAUUGGGUUUAAAGGGUGCGUAGGCGGACGCUUAAGUCAGCGGUAAAAUUGCGGGGCUCAACCUCGUCGAGCCGUUGAAACUGGAGACCUUGAGUGCGCGGAAGGCAGGCGGAAUUCGUGGUGUAGCGGUGAAAUGCUUAGAUAUCACGAAGAACCCCGAUUGCGAAGGCAGCCUGCCGCAGCGUUACUGACGCUGAAGCUCGAAAGCGCGGGUAUCGAACAGGAUUAGAUACCCUGGUAGUCCGCGCGGUAAACGAUGGAUGC